rfam:Sphingomonas sp. LH128 Contig310, whole genome shotgun sequence.
GUUGCGGGAGGCAAUGGAUUCCUGCCUGGCAUGUCGCCGAACCGCCCUCGCACGGGACGAUGAUUCCUACCGGCGC